UGGCAGUGCGGCUCAGUGGUAGAGCACUUGCCUAGCAUGUUGAAGGUCCUGGGUUUAAUCCUCAGCACUUAA
rnacentral:tRNA from 1 species